CUUGCUGCUUCGCUGACGAGUGGCGGACGGGUGAGUAAUGUCUGGGAAACUGCCUGAUGGAGGGGGAUAACUACUGGAAACGGUGGCUAAUACCGCAUAACGUCGCAAGACCAAAGAGGGGGACCUUCGGGCCUCUUGCCAUCAGAUGUGCCCAGAUGGGAUUAGCUUGUUGGUGAGGUAACGGCUCACCAAGGCGACGAUCCCUAGCUGGUCUGAGAGGAUGACCAGCCACACUGGAACUGAGACACGGUCCAGACUCCUACGGGAGGCAGCAGUGGGGAAUAUUGCACAAUGGGCGCAAGCCUGAUGCAGCCAUGCCGCGUGUAUGAAGAAGGCCUUCGGGUUGUAAAGUACUUUCAGCGGGGAGGAAGGUGUUGCGGUUAAUAACCGCAGCAAUUGACGUUACCCGCAGAAGAAGCACCGGCUAACUCCGUGCCAGCAGCCGCGGUAAUACGGAGGGUGCAAGCGUUAAUCGGAAUUACUGGGCGUAAAGCGCACGCAGGCGGUCUGUCAAGUCGGAUGUGAAAUCCCCGGGCUCAACCUGGGAACUGCAUUCGAAACUGGCAGGCUUGAGUCUUGUAGAGGGGGGUAGAAUUCCAGGUGUAGCGGUGAAAUGCGUAGAGAUCUGGAGGAAUACCGGUGGCGAAGGCGGCCCCCUGGACAAAGACUGACGCUCAGGUGCGAAAGCGUGGGGAGCAAACAGGAUUAGAUACCCUGGUAGUCCACGCCGUAAACGAUGUCUACUUGGAGGUUGUGCCCUUGAGGCGUGGCUUCCGGAGCUAACGCGUUAAGUAGACCGCCUGGGGAGUACGGCCGCAAGGUUAAAACUCAAAUGAAUUGACGGGGGCCCGCACAAGCGGUGGAGCAUGUGGUUUAAUUCGAUGCAACGCGAAGAACCUUACCUGGUCUUGACAUCCACAGAACUUUCCAGAGAUGGAUUGGUGCCUUCGGGAACUGUGAGACAGGUGCUGCAUGGCUGUCGUCAGCUCGUGUUGUGAAAUGUUGGGUUAAGUCCCGCAACGAGCGCAACCCUUAUCCUUUGUUGCCAGCGAUUAGG
rnacentral:rRNA from 1 species